GCUCCUCCCAAUAAUAGCAAUGCUAUAGCAAAAAAAACUACAUAUACUGUGGCCAAUGAUAAUGAAUUGAUAAAAUCACUUCCCAUCCCAAUCCACAUUAGCAAAGCAAACGCCACCAUCAAAACAAAUACUAGAGCAGUGACCCAAAUCACAAUUUUUUGACGGCUUCCAACACGAAUUGACCGGAAAGGUAAACAUAUUCGUAGACUGUCUGCAUGAGCUGAUGGAUCAUCUAAUGUC
rnacentral:misc_RNA from 1 species